AUUGAACGCUGGCGGCAGGCCUAAUACAUGCAAGUCGAACGAGUGGCGGACGGGUGAGUAAUGUGUGGGAAACUGCCCGAUGGAGGGGGAUAACUACUGGAAACGGUAGCUAAUACCACAUACUAUCGGAUUUGACCAGAUGGGAGUAGCUGGUAGGUGAGGUAACGGCUCACCUAGGCGACGAUCCCUAGCUGGUCUGAGAGGAUGACCAGCCACACUGGAACUGAGACACGGUCCAGACUCCUACGGGAGGCAGCAGUGGGGAAUAUUGCACAAUGGGCGCAAGCCUGAUGCAGCCAUGCCGCGUGUAUGAAGAAGGCCUUCGGGUUGUAAAGUACUUUCAGCGGGGAGGCGUUACCCGCAGAAGAAGCACCGGCUAACUCCGUGCCAGCCGCCGCGGUAAUAC
rnacentral:rRNA from 1 species